rnacentral:rRNA from 1 species
GAUGAACGCUGGCGGCGUGCCUAAUACAUGCAAGUCGAGCGAAUGGAUUAAGAGCUUGCUCUUAUGAAGUUAGCGGCGGACGGGUGAGUAACACGUGGGUAACCUGCCCAUAAGACUGGGAUAACUCCGGGAAACCGGGGCUAAUACCGGAUAACAUUUUGAACCGCAUGGUUCGAAAUUGAAAGGCGGCUUCGGCUGUCACUUAUGGAUGGACCCGCGUCGCAUUCGCUAGUUGGUGAGGUAACGGCUCACCAAGGCAACGAUGCGUAGCCGACCUGAGAGGGUCAUGGCCCACACUGGGACUGAGACGCAUCCCAGACGCCGGCGGGAGGCAGCAGUAGGGAAUCUUCCGCAAUGGACGAAAGUCUGACGGAGCAACGCCGCGUGAGUGAUGAAGGCUUUCGGGUCGUAAAACUCUGUUGUUAGGGAAGAACAAGUGCUAGUUGAAUAAGCUGGCACCUUGACGGUACCUAACCAGAAAGCCACGGCUAACUACGUGCCAGCAGCCGCCGUAA